UAGCUUGCUCCUUUGACGUUAGCGGCGGACGGGUGAGUAACACGUGGGUAACCUACCUAUAAGACUGGGAUAACUUCGGGAAACCGGAGCUAAUACCGGAUAAUAUUUCGAACCGCAUGGUUCGAUAGUGAAAGAUGGCUCUGCUAUCACUUAUAGAUGGACCUGCGCCGUAUUAGCUAGUUGGUAAGGUAACGGCUUACCAAGGCAACGAUACGUAGCCGACCUGAGAGGGUGAUCGGCCACACUGGAACUGAGACACGGUCCAGACUCCUACGGGAGGCAGCAGUAGGGAAUCUUCCGCAAUGGGCGAAAGCCUGACGGAGCAACGCCGCGUGAGUGAUGAAGGUCUUCGGAUCGUAAAACUCUGUUAUUAGGGAAGAACAAACGUGUAAGUAACUGUGCACGUCUUGACGGUACCUAAUCAGAAAGCCACGGCUAACUACGUGCCAGCAGCCGCGGUAAUACGUAGGUGGCAAGCGUUAUCCGGAAUUAUUGGGCGUAAAGCGCGCGUAGGCGGUUUUUUAAGUCUGAUGUGAAAGCCCACGGCUCAACCGUGGAGGGUCAUUGGAAACUGGAAAACUUGAGUGCAGAAGAGGAAAGUGGAAUUCCAUGUGUAGCGGUGAAAUGCGCAGAGAUAUGGAGGAACACCAGUGGCGAAGGCGACUUUCUGGUCUGUAACUGACGCUGAUGUGCGAAAGCGUGCGGAUCAAACAGGAUUAGAUACCCUGGUAGUCCACGCCGUAAACGAUGAGUGCUAAGUGUUAGGGGGUUUCCGCCCCUUANUGCUNCCGCUAAUGCAUUAAGCACUCCACCUGUUUU
rnacentral:rRNA from 1 species